GACCACGUAGCUCAGUUGGCAGAGCAUUGGACUAGGCCCAAAGGUUGCGGGUUCGGUUCCCACCGUGGUCA